rnacentral:rRNA from 1 species
AUUGAACGCUGGCGGCAGGCCUAACACAUGCCAGUCGAACGAGUGGCGGACUGGUGAGUAAUGUCUGAAAAACUGCCUGAUGGAGGGGGCUAACUAGUAGAAAAGGUAGAUAAUACCGCAUACCAUCGGAUGUGCCCAGAUGGGAUAAGCUAGUAGGUGGGGUAACGGCUCACCUAGGCGACGAGCCCUAGCUGGCCUGCGAGGCUGACCAGCAACACUGAAACUGAGACACGGUCCAGACUCCUACGGGUGGCAGCAGUGGGGAAUAUUGCACAAUGGGUGAAAGCCUGAUGCAGCCAUGCCGCGUGUAUGAAGAAGGCCCGAGGGUUGUAAAGUACUUUCAGUCGGGAGGCGUUACCGACAGAAGAAGCCCCGGCUAACUCCGUGCCAGCCGCCGCGGUAAUAC